AACAUCGCGCACCUGCGGGAACCUGCGGAAGGAUCAUUACAGAGUUGCAAAACUCCCUAAACCAUUGUGAACGUUACCUAAACCGUUGCUUCGGCGGGCGGCCCGGGUCCUUCCCGGCGCCCAUCGGCCCUCGCGGGCGCCCGCCGGAGGUAAACCAAACUAUUGCAUUGUAUGGCCUCUCUGAGUCUUCUGUACUGAAUAAGCCAAAACUUUUAACAAUGGAUCUCAGAUCGGAAGAGC
rnacentral:misc_RNA from 1 species